rfam:Ochotona princeps cont2.682534, whole genome shotgun sequence.
GCAUGGUCUGAUUAACCUACUAACCCAAGGGCUCGGCCGGGAUGCUGUGUGACAAGGUGCUGGUCUUCUGUCAACCGACUAACCCACUAACCAGGUCCGAGCAUGCCCUACUAACCCCUUCCCGCAGCCAGACCCAACUAACC